rnacentral:lncRNA from 1 species
UGUUGUUGAAAUAAAUCAAUAUUCUUAUUCCUCUGAAUAUGUCAAGUUUAUAUUGAUAGAGGCCAUUUUGUAUAAAAAUGAUUAGCUGUAAAAGAGUUUUUAUUAAUUUUGAAUAAAAAAUUAUAUAAAUUCAUUAAAUUAUUCUUAAAAAUCUAUUUUCAUUAAUAUAUAUAAGGAUGGUGCAAAAGUCUGCAUACAUAGACUAGUUUAUUAGUUAACUUGCCAUAUCACAUUGGGAUAUUCUGUGAUUAGUGGCAGCCACUUUUAGAGCCCACAAAAGGCUGGCCAAUACUCAUAGUAGGCCAACAGAUCAUGACCUGAUCAUUUCUGAAAAAUUGAAGGUAUGAAACGCAGAUUUGAACUUGGAUCCUCUAAGAUGGUAAGUGAAUGCUUUACCAUAUGGCCAUCUCAUAGCUCCAUACAUGAGUUUACAUUGGAAACUAUAGACAUUUCCUCAGCUUAUCCAAACAAAAGAGGAAAAAUUAUUAUUAUCCUAUGUGUGGAGAUUUUGCACCAUCUUAUAUAUCCUAUGUGUAUAUAUAUAUUAUGAAUUUUUAAAUACUCUUCAAAAGUUAUCUGAUAAACAUAAAUACAGUUAUGUUUUAUAUUUUAGUUUGAAAAUUAUUUCAAUUUUCCAUGUAAGAAAGUAAUUGAAUGCUAGCUGU